GGGUUGUGAGGUUAAGCGACUAAGCGUACACGGUGGAUGCCCUGGCAGUCAGAGGCGAUGAAGGACGUGCUAAUCUGCGAUAAGCGUCGGUAAGGUGAUAUGAACCGUUAUAACCGGCGAUUUCCGAAUGGGGAAACCCAGUGUGUUUCGACACACUAUCAUUAACUGAAUCCAUAGGUUAAUGAGGCGAACCGGGGGAACUGAAACAUCUAAGUACCCCGAGGAAAAGAAAUCAACCGAGAUUCCCCCAGUAGCGGCGAGCGAACGGGGAGCAGCCCAGAGCCUGAAUCAGUGUGUGUGUUAGUGGAAGCGUCUGGAAAGGCGUGCGAUACAGGGUGACAGCCCCGUACACAAAAAUGCACAUGCUGUGAGCUCGAUGAGUAGGGCGGGACACGUGGUAUCCUGUCUGAAUAUGGGGGGACCAUCCUCCAAGGCUAAAUACUCCUGACUGACCGAUAGUGAACCAGUACCGUGAGGGAAAGGCGAAAAGAACCCCGGCGAGGGGAGUGAAAAAGAACCUGAAACCGUGUACGUACAAGCAGUGGGAGCACGCUUAGGCGUGUGACUGCGUACCUUUUGUAUAAUGGGUCAGCGACUUAUAUUCUGUAGCAAGGUUAACCGAAUAGGGGAGCCGAAGGGAAACCGAGUCUUAACUGGGCGUUAAGUUGCAGGGUAUAGACCCGAAACCCGGUGAUCUAGCCAUGGGCAGGUUGAAGGUUGGGUAACACUAACUGGAGGACCGAACCGACUAAUGUUGAAAAAUUAGCGGAUGACUUGUGGCUGGGGGUGAAAGGCCAAUCAAACCGGGAGAUAGCUGGUUCUCCCCGAAAGCUAUUUAGGUAGCGCCUCGUGAAUUCAUCUCCGGGGGUAGAGCACUGUUUCGGCAAGGGGGUCAUCCCGACUUACCAACCCGAUGCAAACUGCGAAUACCGGAGA
rnacentral:rRNA from 1 species